rnacentral:lncRNA from 1 species
GAAAUGGACUAGUGAUGGAGCACCCGUGUCUGUUUGACGUUUCAUACAGAAAGUUAUAAAAGAAAGUAGAUGAGAUUGCUUAUUCCCUUUAAACCCAGCCUAAUGGAGAAAUCGCGAGCUAUGGAAAACGAUGCACAUUUGUCUGGCAAGCGAUGAAAUAACCACACACAAUGGAGGCAUGCGCAGAACAUUCCCCCCUCCUUGAUGACCAGAACAAAAGACGCCGAGAGCAGGAAACUCGUCUUACUGAAUGACCGAGGCUGGAGAAACGCUGAGAGACUUGAAGCCUAAAAGAUCACAAAACACAGCAAAGCACAACUCGUAACAGCCUUUGGAAACAUGAAGAACAUUCCCCCCAGCUUUACGUGGAGUUUAGCACUCUGUUUUGACUAGUGUAGUAACUAAAUCUCAUGUUAAAAGAUCAAACAGACCUGUAAAAACUUUUUAAAUGAACUGAGGAUGGUUACUGGUUCUACAGGUUAUGUAGAAUAAUAAUCAACAAUGUGUAAUAGGGCCCAUCAUUCACCAAUUAAAAGGUAAAAGCGAAACAAGGAGCUAAAGGGACCCAGAGACAAGCCAACGUCAGGGUGAGCCAAGACAUCCUGAUAAUGAAGCAUUCAAGAGUCUCUGUAUAUCAGGCUUCAAAAAAACAACAACAUUUCAAACCAAUGCUGUUCUUUGAAACUUCAUUCCUCAAAGAGAUCAGAAAAAAAGUUUGUUGUCUCAAAAAUGUUCAGCAUUGAUAAUAAAUGUUUUUUGAGCUAUAAAUAAACAUAUAAAGUUGAUUUCUGAAAGAUCCUCCAACACUAAAGACUGAAGUAAUAAUGCUGAAUUGUUUGCCAUCACAAAUCAGUAAAUUACAAUUUAAAAUCUACAAAACAUGUAUACAUUAUGUUGAUAUAAAAUGUCAAUGAAUGAUUGUGUUAAAAUAAAGUUAAUUAAAGU